rnacentral:rRNA from 1 species
UACGUAGGGACCAAGCGUUGUUCGGAUUUACUGGGCGUAAAGGGCGCGUAGGCGGCAAUUCAAGUCAUCUGUGAAAUCUCCGGGCUUAACCCGGAACGGUCAGAUGAUACUGCUUUGCUAGAGGGCGGAAGGGGCAAUCGGAAUUCUUGGUGUAGCGGUGAAAUGCGUAGAUAUCAAGAGGAACACCUGAGGUGAAGACGGGUUGCUGGGCCGACACUGACGCUGACAGCGCGAAAGCCAGGGGAGCAAACGGG